CAGUAGCCGCGGUAAUACGUAGGUGGCAAGCGUUGUCCGGAAUUAUUGGGCGUAAAGGGCUCGCAGGCGGUUCCUUAAGUCUGAUGUGAAAGCCCCCGGCUCAACCGGGGAGGGUCAUUGGAAACUGGGAAACUUGAGUGCAGAAGAGGAGAGUGGAAUUCCACGUGUAGCGGUGAAAUGCGUAGAGAUGUGGAGGAACACCAGUGGCGAAGGCGACUCUCUGGUCUGUAACUGACACUGAGGAGCGAAAGCGUGGGGAGCGAACAGGAUUAGAUACCCCCGUAGUCCCUGUCUCUUAUAC
rnacentral:rRNA from 1 species